CAGCCGCCGCGGGAAUACGUAGGUGGCAAGCGUUGUCCGGAAUUAUUGGGCGUAAAGGGCUCGCAGGCGGUUUCUUAAGUCUGAUGUGAAAGCCCCCGGCUCAACCGGGGAGGGUCAUUGGAAACUGGGAAACUUGAGUGCAGAAGAGGAGAGUGGAAUUCCGCGUGUAGCGGUGAAAUGCGUAGAGAUGUGGAGGAACACCAGUGGCGAAGGCGACUCUCUGGUCUGUAACUGACGCUGAGGAGCGAAAGCGUGGGGAGCGAACAGGAUUAGAUACCCGCGUAGUCCCUGUCUCUUAUAC
rnacentral:rRNA from 1 species